rnacentral:rRNA from 1 species
UACGAAGGGGGCUAGCGUUGCUCGGAAUCACUGGGCGUAAAGGGUGCGUAGGCGGGUUUUUAAGUCAGAGGUGAAAUCCCUGGAGCUCAACUCCAGAACUGCCUUUGAUACUGAAAGUCUUGAGUAUGGGAGAGGUGAGUGGAACUGCGAGUGUAGAGGUGAAAUUCGUAGAUAUUUCGCAAGAACACCAGUGGCGAAGGCGGCUCACUGGCCCAUAACUGACGCUGAGGCACGAAAGCGUGGG